rnacentral:rRNA from 1 species
CCUACGGGAGGCAGCAGUGAGGAAUAUUGGUCAAUGGACGAGAGCCUGAAGCAGCCAAGUAGCGUGAAGGAUGACUGCCCUAUGGGUUGUAAACUUCUUUUAUAAAGGAAUAAAACGAGGCACGUGUGCCUUUUUGCAUGUACUUUAUGAAUAAGGAACGGCUAACUCCGUGCCAGCAGCCGCGGUAAUACGGAGGAUCCGAGCGUUAUCCGGAUUUAGUGGGUUUAAAGGGAGCGUAGAUGGGUUGUUAGGUCAGUUGUGAAAGUUUGGGGCUCAACCGUAAAAUUGCAUUUGAUACUGGCAGUCUUGAGUACAGUUGAGGUAGGCGGAAUUCGUGGUGUAGCGGUGAAAUGCUUAGAUAUCACGAAGAACCCCGAUUGCGAAGGCAGCUUACUAAACUGUGACUGACGUUGAUGCUCGAAAGUGUGGGUAUCAAACAGGAUUAGAUACCCUAGUAGUC